rnacentral:rRNA from 1 species
GACAGAGGGUGCAAACGUUGUUCGGAAUUACUGGGCGUAAAGCGUGUGUAGGCGGCCAUACAAGUCGGAUGUGAAAGCCCUGGGCUCAACCCAGGAAGUGCACUCGAUACUGUCUGGCUCGAGUAUCGGAGAGGUUGGUGGAAUUCUCGGUGUAGAGGUGAAAUUCGUAGAUAUCGAGAGGAACACCGGUGGCGAAGGCGGCCAACUGGACGAAUACUGACGCUGAGACACGAAAGCGUGGGGAGCGAACAGG